GAUGAACGCUGGCGGCGUGCCUAAUACAUGCAAGUCGAGCGAACGGACGAGAAGCUUGCUUCUCUGAUGUUAGCGGCGGACGGGUGAGUAACACGUGGAUAACCUACCUAUAAGACUGGGAUAACUUCGUGAAACCGGAUCUACUACCGGAUAAUAUUUUGAACCGCAUGGUUCAAAAGUGAAAGACGGUCUUGCUGUCACUUAUAGAUGGAUCCGCGCUGCAUUAGCUAGUUGGCAAGGUAACGGCUUACCAAGGCAACGAUGCAUAGCCGACCUGAGAGGAUGAUCGGCCACACUGGAACUGAGACACGGUCCAGACUCCUACGGGAGGCAGCAGUAGGGAAUCUUCCGCAAUGGGCGAAAGCCUGACGGAGCAACGCCGCGUGAGUGAUGAAGGUCUUCGGAUCGUAAAACUCUGUUAUUAGGGAAGAACAUAUGUGUAAGUAACUGUGCACAUCUUGACGGUACCUAAUCAGAAAGCCACGGCUAACUACGUG
rnacentral:rRNA from 1 species